rnacentral:lncRNA from 1 species
GUGCGCGUGCGGGUCCGGCGGUUGUGGCGCCUUGCACACGGCAACGUAAAGGGCGCGCGAGACGAGACCGCCGACGGCAUAGAGCGCGACAAAGGUCGCAACGGCGAUCGACAGACCCUUGACCAACUGGAGCGCCUCCUUGGCGCCACCGCUGCCGACGACGGCGGCGGGCGCAUGCAUGAGGUUGUCGAGCAACGACAAGCGCCAUCCGCCGGCGAUUAUGACCAGAGGCCAUGUGAUCUUGCUUGUGGUGCGCAAGACGGCGUUGCCAAAAGAGGGGUCGGCAGACGUCCAGGCCGCUGAGGCCACGACGACGCCGAGACCUGCCAGGCUGGCCGCUCCGGCGGCGAUUCCGUUUAGCGCCCAUGUUCUGCAGUGCAGAGCACGCGCAAUCGCAAAUAAAUCGCCAACAACAUAUUGUGUGAGUCGCAGCGGCACUGCACACAAUUUCUUGCAACGAG